rnacentral:lncRNA from 1 species
UACACCAUACUCAGUUUGCCGUAUUGUGAACAUCACUUUGGUACACUUGUCACAACUAAUUAACUAAUACUGAUACAAAAUCUCCUCAUUUUGCAGAUGAGAAAACUGAGUCCCAAGGGGUUAAGUGAUUUGCUCAAGGCAAUGGCAGAGGAGGAACCAGGACCCAAUUUUCUCAACUGUGAGCCAAGGUUUUUCCUUUUACCAGUGUGGACUAGAGGAAAAGUGAUCGACAAAGAGGCAAGGAGAGAAUGACAAACAGGAGAACUUACAUUCUAGCCAGGAAAAAUGGAUAGAAAUAAGAAAAUGAAUACAUGAAUGAUCUCAGAGAAGG